rnacentral:lncRNA from 1 species
ACCAAUGAUUCAAGAUAUUUAUGAGAGAGUCAAUUUAUAUCCUAAUUAAUUUCAAAUUAGAUCUGAUUUAAUUAAGACUUAAUUGGGUUAAAAAUUUAAAUUAGACUUGGACCAAAAUUCUAAUUAGAUUGGGAUUGACAGGCUCUUCGAUUUUGGUUCAAAUCCAAUUCGAAUCAGGUUCGAAUUGAGCUAAAUUUGGACUUAAAGGAGAGGGCUUAAAGUUUGAAUUGAGUCCCACAUAGUAGGGACUCUCUCCGUGGCCGACCAAAAGAGAAAAGAGCAUUGGUUUUUUCCGCUCCCACUUUUGUU